GGACCUUUUGUUGGCCUCGGAUAGGCGAUCCUCGCCGUGCGCCGGGAACCGGGGUCUGGUGCAGACAGCCCUUCAUCCUGGGAAACGCGCUGCUGCCAGAAAGGCGGUCACUCCCUGACCCAUCACGUAAUGUGUUUGUGGGGAACCUGAUGCUAAGCUAUUCGUAGACGCCCUGCUUCUGGGUCAGGGUUUUCUAUGGAGCAGAGCAGCUCCCUCCCUGCCAUCUAUUGAAAAUCAGAUCUCCACACAAGGGUCUCUCCACCCGUGUGUGGGGGACCCGGUGAUAUGGCGUGUCCUUGUGUAAUUCAACCUUUGACGUGUACUUUUCUUCCUCCCUCCUGUUGCCCCUGGGGACCUCGUUCCCUGGCCCGCUCAUGCCCACCCGCCCCGGAGCUCCGGAACACACAGCGGGUGUCUCUCGCCAGAGCCCAUCAGCGCCCGCUGUGCAUUUGGGAGGCGCCCGUCCCCACCGGCGGGCUUUCCAAGAUGCCACGCGGGGGAUUGCCGAGGUAGGGGUGGCGCACCUGCUCGUAGUUCCACCUCUCCGAUUCCACCUCCUCCCCACACCCCUCUGGGAACUCCUCCAGGGGCUGGGAUCGGAUUCAUUGAGCCUGUUGAGAAUGGCUGAGGCGUGGGUGUCGGAGGGUGUGCCCCUGAGGUUUCUGUCCCAGUAAUGUUCACGCAUGCCCGGUGGUGGCCUUUGGGGUCACUGCCCCUCUCCCCGCCCCAGGUGCGCGGGGCUGGGAUAUGAGCCAGUCACUGCCUUUGUGCCUUUCCUUCUCUCUCCGCUGCCGGGUUCAACCAGCGGACAGUGGGGGAACGGCGGGCAGGUCGGUGGAGUUAGAUGACAGUAAAGGUGGGCCGGCUCUGUGUGAUAAGAUUCCAACUGGGUCCGACCGCUUCCGUCCGCUGGCGCCGGGUCCCCCAGACGUCUGCGGCGAGCGUUGGAACUGACCAUCAACCUGGGAUUUCUAAGGAAUAACAGAUAACUCUGUUGGCGUGUGAGAAUGCGAUCUCGGCUCAUCGCAGCCUGGACCUUCCUGGGCUCCGUCAGGUGAUCUUGCCAUCUCAGUCUUCCAAGUGGCUGAGACUGCAGGAAUAGCUUGAUUCUGGGAUGUCGAAGCUGCAGUGAGCCAUGAUCACGCCACUGCCCUCCAGCCUGAGUGACAGAGAAAGACCCUGUUUCAGAAAGUAAGAGAGACAGGUUAAAGAAAUAACUCCUUGAAAUUACUACAAUUAAUUGUGAUCUAAAUUACUUGUUAUAUUUUUCACUCCCACUAGUUUAUUAUUAUUGUUGUUGUUAUUAUUUAUUUGUAUUAUUGUUUGUUAUAAUUGUUAUUGUUUUUAUUAUUUAGUUAUUUAGAGAUGGAGUCUUGGUCUAUCACCCAGACUGCAGUGCAGUGGCACGACCUUGGCUCACUGUAGCCUCAUAUUCCCGGGUUCAAGUUCGAGACCAACCUGGGCAAUAUGGCAUAACAACCGUGUCUACUAAAAUCUAUCACUGAUACUCCCAGGGCCGUUGGAUAUGGCAGGUGCAAGUUCGGAGGCUGAGGCAGGCGGUUCGCUAAAGUUUGGGAGUUCGAGAUGAGCCUGGGCAACAGGCUGCAGUGCAUUUGCCUGACCAAGGCCCACCACAGCCUCUACCUCCCCAGCCCAAAUGAUGCUCCCACCUCAGGCUCCAAAGGAGCUGAAACUACAGGCGCCUGCCAUCACGCCCGGCUAACUUUUUAAUUUUUUCUUUUUUAAAGUAGAGACGUGGUCUCACUGUGUUGCCAGGGCUGGUCUCAAACUGCUGGGCUCAAGUGAUUCUUCCACCUCAACCUCCCAAAGUGUUGGGAUUAUAGGUGUGAACCAUGAUGCGCUUCCCUCUUUUUCAUUUCCUUUAUUUUUCCUUUUUUCUUCCUCUUUCUUUCUUUUUCUUUCUUUCUUUUCUUUUUCUUUCUUCUCUCUCUCUUUUUCUUCCUCCCUUCUAUCAUUUCUCAUUCUCUUUUUCUGUUUCUCUUUCUAUUUUCUUCGUUAUCUUUCUUCCCUUUACAUCUCUGUCUCUUUUUCUUUACAUUUUUUUUUAAUCUUUUUUGCUGUCUGUCUUUUCUCAAUUCGUUUCCUCCCAUCCCUCCAACUGUCUGUCUUCGUGUGGAUUCUGGAAGAGUCUCCUCAUUCUGUAUCCCCUGUGUAUCACAAGCCUCUGAGACUUUUGCUUUGUUCUUUUCUCCUUGUUGCAUAAAAGGCAUUCACUCUUCUUUUAUUUUGGUACUCUGUGGACGGUCGAGGGCUGGAAAGAAAAAAAACGGACCAUGAAUUUAAUUGGUUUCACAAGAGACAUGGGAGACCAAAGAACGCACGAUGAGUACUUUGCUAAAUAUCCUGUUUAUUCUCCCAACCAGGCUCAUAAAAGUACAGAUGCAUCCGAGACGAGGCUUCACCAUGUUGCCAAGUAUGGUCUUGAUUGCCUGGGAUCAAGGAAUCCACCCGCCCUCAGGCUCCCAAUGUUCGAGAAUUAAAGGCGUGAGCCACUGCUCCUGACAGCAUUGUUUUUUGUUUGUUUGUUUGUUUGUUUCUUUUUUUAAUCUCUUGUCUUUCCAGGAGUUUCACGGCAGAGUGUUUGGCUGGCUUGUUUAAAUUCAUUCUAAAUAGGAACUGAGGAUAUCAGCUUCUGGCCUCAUGGACUCAGAGCUGAUGAGUCCCAAAAACUCAUAAAGUUUAAAAUAAAUAAUUUUGUUGUACAGAAAUACACGGAUGCACCCAAAACACAGAAACAAUUCUUUUAAAAGUUGUCUUAGUCCUGGUGGGUGUGCCAGUGAUUCUUUUAGGUUUGGAGCUUGACUGAGAGAAUUUCCAGUCGGUCUCUGGAUGGAAGUUCCAGAUGAUCCGAUGGGUGGGGACUUAGACUGUGUCCCCCCAGGGGCCCUGGUCUAUUAGUUGUGGGGACUGCCUGGGAGAGCGUGGUGACCCACUGUACUGUGGGAGCCUCUACCCUUCCCCUCCCUUCUCCCCCUCCGGGUGAUGCCAAUUCAUUCCAGGCUGAAACUCUCAUUGGCAGACUUUGGGCAUCACCUAGUGGCCACUGUUACUCUGAAAACUGAGGCCUCAAGGAAGAAGAAAGUUCAUGGUGCCUGUACACAGCCCAGGGCAACUGUGUCGUCUCCACUUCUCCUGCCGCCACCUCCAAGUUUCUCCCUCCCUUGUUUCCUAGGGAAUCACCACCCUGAUGACUGGGUCUGAUUCUUCUUUGAUCAGUUAAAAAAAUAAAUAAAUAUGCCGGGAGUGGUGGCUCACACCUGUAAUCCCAGCACUUUGGGAGGCAGAGGCAGGCAGAUCACGAGGUCAGGAGUUCAAGUCCAGCCUGGCCAGUAUGGUGAAAACGUAUCUCUACUAAACAUACAAAAAACUAGCCAUGCAUGGUGGUGCACACCUGUAAUCCCAGCUACUCAGGAGGCUGAGGCAGGAGAAUUGCUUGAACCCAGUAGGUUAAGGUUGCAGUGAGCCAGGAUAGUACCACUGCACUCCAACCUGGGCAACAGAGUGAGACUCAGUCUCAAAAAAAAAAAAAAAAAAGGGGGGGGGGGGAAAGAGGCCAGGCGUAGUGGCUCACACCUGUAAUCCUAGCACUUAUGGAGGCUGAUGUGGGCAAAUCACCUGAGGUUGGGAUUUCGAGACCAGCCUGACCAACACGGAGAAACUGUCUCUACUAAAAAUAGCAAGUUAGCCAGGCGUGGUGGCGCUUUCCUGUAAUCCCAGCUACUCGGGAGGCCAAAAAAGGAGAAUUACUUGAACCCAGGAGACAGAGGUUGCGGUGAGCCGAGAUUGCACCAUUACUCUCCAACCUGGGCAACAAGAGCGAAACUCCGUAUCCAACAUAAUAGUAACAAUAAUAAUAAAAUAAAAAAUAAGCGAGUCUCCAGGAAAAAAGAAAAUAAAAAUAAAACCAACACUGACAUAAACAUAUGCCUUUGUCUUUUUGAGGCAGCAAUGAUGCUACAAAGUGAUCCACCUGUCUCAGCUUCCCAAAGUGCUGAGAUUACAGGUGUGAGCCACUGCACCCAGCUAUGUGUACUUUCUAUGUGUACUUUCUUUUUUUAAAUUAAGUUUUUGUUUGUUUUGAGACAGAGUCUUACUGUGUCACCGAGGCUUGAGCACAGUGGCAUGCUCAUGGCUCACUGCAACCUCCACCUCCCAGGUUCAAGCAGUUUUCCUGCCUUAGCCUCCCCAGUAGCUGCGACUAUUGGCACAUGCCACUGCACCUGACUAAUUUUUGUAUUUUUAGUAGAGACAGGGUUUCGCUGUGGUCGCCAGGCUGGUCUCAAACUCCUGACCUCAAGUGAUCCACCCGUCUCAGCCUCUCAAAGUGUGAGAAAGAAUUUCUGGGUGCUAGAUGAGUUGGUCUCUCCUUUGUGAGACACCCAUGGGGAGUCAUGGGCGGCCUCUGAGGAGAAAAGUCUCCUUAUUGCCUUCAUGUCUUUAUGCCCUGAGAGCAUAACAGCUCAGAGGCAUUCCACAGGUUGUUAAGGGAGAUACCACACUCCCUUGAAGCAGUGGAAUAUAAUCGAACAUGUUGGCUCCUCCUGAAAUCCACUCCCAUCCAUUUCAGUCCCGAUAAGUUAAAUAUCUUAAGUAGUUUAGACACACACCUUUGCUCAAGGAAAUUCACAAAAACCGCCACUCCUACACAUCUUAUUGCAUGACUCACGAGUUCUCUUUCACUGAUUAAUCCUUUUCCUCAUCCCUUUCUACCCCUCCCAUCUGCCCUAAGAACAAACAGCUUGUAAGCCAAUGAAUUCAGUGGAGCCCGAGAGCUCUGGGCCGUGAGCAAGCCUCCGAUGCUCCUGUCCCCUGGACCCGCCACUUUAACACUUAUUUUGUCUCUUUCCAACUCCUUUGUCUCUGCCGGACUCGGGGUACCCACUGGCUGGUGCAAGGCUGGUUUCCCCACACAAAGUGCUGAGGUUACACGCAUGAGCCACUGCGCCCAGCUAUGUGUAAUUUCAUAACUCAGCUCAUUUCUUGACUGGGUACCAUGGGCAUUUGGGCCACUUUCUCAUGGAACUUACUUGUGCUUCAGGAUCUGUUCAGACCCAAUCAGGUCCACAGCACUUCCGUGUCAUGCUGGAGUGCUGCUGUGCACACCCACUUAUGCCCAGUGUGUGAUGAGUGGCUCAGCUCACAUGGUAACUUCGUGGCCCCACGGUUGGGCAUUUGGUUUCUACUAACAGCCAGAGGCUAGCUGAGAGAGCCUGUCGCUCAAAAGAAGAAUGGUUAUCUGCAGAUAAUGGCAGGGCCUUGCUCCGAAAUCCUCAAGACCUCCUCUGUGAUUUGGAAUAGCCUAUGUCUCAAAUGGAUGGUCCUGUUUUUCUGCUCUGGUCUUUAGGAACAAGUGGAACCUUCCCAUGCUCUGCCACCUCCUUGCAUCUUUUUAUAUUCAUCUAUUCAUUUAUUCAUGUAUUUUUUAGAGACGGGGUCUUCCUGUGUCGCUGAGGCUGGAGUGCAGUGGUAGGAUCAUAGCUGGCUGCAACCUUGAACUGCUGGGCUCAAAGCGAUCUUCCUCCGCCUCAGCCUCCCAAGUAGCUGGGCCUACAGGCAAGGGUGUGAGCCACAAAACAGCACAACGCCUGGCUAAUUAUCUUCAUUAUUAUUAUUAUUGUUUUCUUGCUUCUUUUCUGAGACAAAGUCUCCCUCUGUCACCUGGGCUGGAGUGUAAUUGUUCCCAGACCAAACUGAGGGUUGGGCUGCUUAUUCUUGUGUCCUGACAACAAGAUGCAGAUGAACUGAAAAAGGAUGGAGUUUUUAAUUUCUGUGACCACUUAGAGGGAGAAGGCCUGGAAAUAUCACCAGACCGACUCAAAAUUACAAAGGUUUGUAAAGCUUAUAUACCCUCUAAGCUAUCUGCCUAAGCGUAAGAGUUUAUUCAUCUAAAGGUGGAAGCGAUUGACUUUUUUUUGUUGUUGUUAUUGGAGUCUUCCUCUGUUGCCCAGGCUGGAGUGCAGUGGUGAGAUCUCAGCUCACUGCAACCUCCACCUCCCGAGUUCAAGUGAUUCUCAUGCCUCAGCCUCCAAGGAGCUGGGAUUGCAGGUGCCCACCACCAUGCCUGGCUAAUUUUUGGAUUUUUCUUAGAGGUGGUUUUUUGCCCUGUUGACCAGGCUGGUUUGGAACUCUUGACCUCAGGUGGUCUGCCCACCUUGGCCUCCCAAAGUGCUGGGGUGAUGGGUGUGGGCCACCACUCCCAGCCACUUCUUUUGUUACUAGAAAUGGGCUCUCUCACUAUCAUAGUAUGUUGGAACCUAGCCCCCCCAAAUCUGGCCAUAAACAGUCCCCAAAACUGGCCAUAAACAAAAUCUCUGCAGCAUUAUGACAUGUAUGUAAUGGCCCUAUUGCCCAAGCUGGAAGGUUGUGGGUUUACGUGAAUGAGGGCAAUGAACACCUGGCCCACCCAGGGCAGAAAACCGCUUAAAGGCAAUCUUAAGCCACAAACAAUAGCAUGAGCAAUCUGUGUCUUAAGGGCGUGUUCCUGCUGCAGUUAAGUAGCCCAACCUAUUCAUUUAAUUUGGCCCAUCCCUUUGUUUCCCAUAAGGGAUACUUUUACUUAAUUUAAUAUCUAUAGAAACAAUGCUAAUGACUGGUUUGCUGUUAAUAAAUAUGUGGGUAAAUCUCUGUUCGGAGCUCUUAGCUCUGAAGGCUGUGAGACCCCUGAUUUCCCACUUCAUACCUCUAUAUUUCUGUGUGUGUGUCUUUAAUUCCUGUAGCGCCACUGGGUUAGGGUCUCCCCAGCCGAGCUGGUCUCGGCAAUAGUAUAAACUCAUCUAUAUCAUGGGAUAUGGCACAUGCAUUUGUACAUGCGUACGUGCAUGUGUUUCUCCAUGUUUUCCCAAGCCAGGGAAAACAUGCUUCUUCCUCUGCAGGGGCUCUGGUAGAUUAGUUGUUGGGAGCUCCUCAGAGGGUGCUGGGCUGACACUCUCAUCCGUUUUUGAAGUCUAGGUGGCACACAGGAUGCUGUGGCCACCCGCCCAUGGUAAGGAGUGAGUGUGGUUUCUCUCUGCACCCCCUGCCCCCACCCCUGCCCUUGGAGGCCCACCCUACCUCUGUCCAUCUGUUCUCCCACUCCCUCGUUGCCCAGAAAACCUCUGGAGAUUCUGGCUGCGCCAGAUUGUUGAUCUUUUUGAUCAGCUGGUUCCUUUUCUUUGUGUGUUUGAUCCGUGUGGACUCUUCUGCCUCGGUUUUAAAGAUGGCAGCUCCACCCUAGGCCUUUUUGUUAGUGGAGACUUUUCUGAUUCUCCCCAGAUGUUGUGAAAGCAGGUAAAUGUCAAGCGUGUGGGACUAAAUGGCAUUUCCUAGAAAUAACCAAAUGAGUGUGGAGGAAGAAACAUGCACUACACACCUUUCAAGGCAGCAAUGGCAGCACUAUGAAUUUGGUGUCAUUUCUGGAGUCAGAUUUUGUCCUGAGUUGCCCUCCUUGUUGCCCCAUCCAGGAGGUUCUGGAAGGUUAGAAAACAUUCCAGAGUGAACUACUGUGCCACCGUCCUCUCCCCGUCCUGUUUUGUCCCCUCCCCCUCACCUCAGUAUCUCUCCUUCGAUUCUGGCAGCUUUGCUCUUCCUCCUUCCCUCCCUAGGGAAACUCAACCACCCUAGCUAAGCCACCGUAGUCACUUUUUACCAUUAUAAUAUUUUUCUUUCCCUGGCCAGGAUAUUGGUAAAGUGGAAAGUGUGUCAUAGCCCCACCCUGGGCCUUACUACUUUUUAGAGGUUUUUUUUAUUCAUCUUUCUAUCUUUCUCCUUUCAUCUCUGUCUUCCGAAUUUAUUUCUCCAGUUCCCUUUCUCUCUUCCUUCCUUCCUUUUUUCUUUCUUUCUUUUCUUUUUUUCUUUCUUUCUUCCUCUAUCCUUUUUCCUUUCUUUCUCUUCUUUCUUUCUCUAUCUCUUUCCAUAUUUCUCUCUUCCUCCUUCUUUUUACUUUUUCUUUCUUUUUUGAUUUUUUUGAGAUGGAAUCUCACUGUGUUACACAGGCUGGAGUGCAGUGGCUCCAUCUCAACUCAUGGCAACCUCCACCUUCCGGGUUCAAGCUGUUCUUCUGCCUCACCACUGCCCCCCACACCUGACCUGCCUAGGUAACUGAGACUACAGGUGCAUGCCACCAUGCCUGGCUAAUUUUUGUAUUUUUAGUAGAGACAGGGUUUCACCAUAUUGGCCAGCCUGGUAUCGAACACCUGACCUGGUGAUCCACCCACCUCAGCCUCCCACAUUGCUGGGAUUACAGCCGAGAGCCACUGCACCCACCCAUUGUUUCUUUUAAAAAUAUUUUUCCUUUCAGAAAUCGACCUCCUUCUUCAUUUCCUUUAUAUUUUUUCUUGCAGGACUCGCAAUCUUUAUUGGUUCAAGUUUUUCAGACAGAAUCUAGCUCUGUCACGUGGGCUGCAGUGCAUUGGCCUGACCAUGGCUUACCAUAGCCUCGACCUUCUGAGUCCAAGAGAUGGUCUUAUGUCAGCCUUUCGAGGAGCUGUGACUACAGACGCAUAUCCUCAUUCCAUGCUAACUUUUUUCCCCUUUUUUUUUCUUUAAGUAGAGACAGGGUCUUGCUAUGUUGCCAGAGCUGAUCUCAAACUCCUGGGCUCAGGCUAUUCUCCCACCUAACCUCGCAAAGUGUUGGGAUUAUAGAU
rnacentral:lncRNA from 1 species